GCAAUUAUUCAAUUUUACUCGUUUUCAAACCCUAGGUUAUAGAUUUUGUUGAAUUUCUAUUUGUACAAUUAAUCUCUUAGUUUCUAGAUAUUUUCUUAUACAUUAGUGAUUUACUGGAUUGCUAAUUUCAUUUUUUUGGAUCUAUUUCUUUACAUGUAAAACUUGACAUUGAUUUUGUUACUCCAUUCUUUUAGAGUUUUAGAGUUAUUGGUUGGACCAAAGCAGAGUUUGGACCUCGAAUAGAAGAAAAAGAAGGGGUUUCUUAAACCAAAGAUCACCUUCUCAUUAUAUUCCAUGAAAAUGGUGGGCAGUAGAAUCGUCGAGCCUCUAACAGCAAGGGCGAAUAUUGCUGAAUGUGGAUAUGGAUCAAGUAACAAUGCUGGACAAGGUUCUCAAUCUGAAGGAGAUUCGUCAAACACAACUAUUUUUGUUGGAGGGCUUGAUCCUAGUUCAUAAACGAGGAUCUUAGGCAACCUUUCUCUCAAUAUGGGGAGAUAUUUUAUGUUAAAAUUCCAGUAUGGAAAGGAUGCGGAUUUGUGCGAUUUGCGAACAGAGGUCAUGCUGAAGAGGCUUUGAAUAAGCUAAACGGGUCAGUUAUAGGAAAGCAAAUUGUCUGUCUUUCAUGGGGCCGCUACCCUACAAACAAACAGUCAAGAGGUGACUAUGGAAAUAUGUGGAAUGGAGGCUACUACGGAGGACACAUAUAUGGUGGUGGUAACGGAUACGUACCACACCCCCAUGACCAAAGCAUGUAUGCAGCAGCGGCAGCAGCUUACUGAGCCUACCUUGUAUACGACAAUCAGCAACAAGUAAGCUGAUGACAAAGACACGAAAAAAGAAGUAGCGCGCAUGAGGAGAAGCCUCAAGAUUAUCGAUAAGCGUUUCGUAUAGCACUACCUAGGCAUAUUGUUUCAUUCUUUGUAGUGUGAGCCUGUUGUGUAGAAAUAUUUAUGAACCCCUCCCCCUCCUAAUGUGGAGUGGAACUGAAUUUUGAUAGCUCCCAAGCCGUAGAUUUGUAUGAAGAUUUUUUAACUUGGUGUCAAAGAUCAGAAAUUGUUCAGCGCCCCUGAUGGAUCGUUUGAUGCUGAAUUAGAGAUUUGUUUGAAAUUUCUAGUUGAGAGUUACAAUUCACAUGUGGUUUAAGACAAGCCAAAGUUUAUUAAGAUUGGAAAAAGCAAUGUAGGUGCAGCAAGAGAAUAGGCCAGGACAGUUGAGCAUCAAAACAAGCGACUAUAUCGUCUAUAAGGCCAUCAUCUAUCUAUUUUGGUUUUUAGUCUUAUAUUAGUUAUUUAGGGACAAGCUACUAUAAUAUGCGACGUUUUUUUUUUUU